rnacentral:misc_RNA from 1 species
GAUGAAGAACGUAGCGAAAUGCGAUAAGUAGUGUGAAUUGCAGAAUUCAGUGAAUCAUCGAAUCUUUGAACGCAUAUUGCGCCCCUUGGUAUUCCGAGGGGCAUGCCUGUCCGAGCGUCAUUGCAACCCUUCAAGCACGGCUUGUGUGUUGGACGGCCGCCCCAGUGUGGGCGGGUCCCAAAUGCAGUGGCGGCGCCGCGAUCCGGGUGCUCGAGUGCAUGGAAACCACGCGCUCGUUAGGCCCCGUCGGGCGCCGGCCGACCUAAUUAUCUUCGUUCUGGUUGACCUCGGAUCAGGUAGGAAUACCCGCUGAACUUAAGCAUAUCAAUAAGCGGAGGA